UACGUAGGUGGCAAGCGAUACUCGGAAUCACUAGGCGUAAAGCGCAGGUAGGAGGUUUAGUAAGUCUGUUGUGAAAGCUCCCGGCUUAGCUGGGAGAGGUCAACGGAAACUGCUAGGCUAGAGUGCGGUAGAGGAAGGUGGAAUUCCCGGUGUAGCGGUGAAAUGCGUAGAUAUCGGGAGGAAUACCUAUGGCGAAAGCAGCCUUCUGGACCGUCACUGACUCUGAUCUGCGAAAGCUAGGGGAGCAAACAGG
rnacentral:rRNA from 1 species